ACAGACCCACUUCACUCUAAGUGGUUUAGCAUCAAGAAGCUCACGCUAAACAAAAAGGUGUACCCUAAGAAAGCCACCCAAAGAGCCUGCAUGAAGGAUGUGGAGGAAAACAUCGGCAAAUCUGAAGGGCUUUCUGCCCAGAUGCGACUCUUGGCAGAGGAACCAGUCGGCGAGGAGAAUGUGGAGAAAACCUCCUGUGAAUCAGAAUCGCGUACUCCCCAGAUGCCACCCAGUGCGGAGGAUAGUGGUAUGUACC